rnacentral:rRNA from 1 species
CGGCACGGGUGAGUAACACGUAUCCAACCUGCCGUCUACUCUUGGACAGCCUUCUGAAAGGAAGAUUAAUACAAGAUGGCAUCAUGAGUCCGCAUGUUCACAUGAUUAAAGGUAUUCCGGUAGACGAUGGGGAUGCGUUCCAUUGAUAGUAGGCGGGGUAACGGCCCACCUAGUCUUCGAUGGAUAGGGGUUCUGAGAGGAAGGUCCCCCACAUUGGAACUGAGACACGGUCCAA